UCCCGUUUAUCACGGGCAGUUCCCUUAGAGUGCCCGGCAUUACCCGCUGGCAACUAAGGGCGAGGGUUGCGCUCGUUGCGGGACUUAACACAACAUCUCACGACACGAGCUGACGACAGCCAUGCAGCACCUGUGCUGGCGCUCCGAAGAGGGGCCGAUGUUUUCACCGGCUUACACCAGCAUGUCUAGCCCAGGUAAGGUUCUUCGCGUUGCGUCGAAUUGAACCACAUGCUCCACCGCUUGUGCGGGCCCCCGUCAAUUCCUCUGAGUUUUAAUCUUGCGACCGUACUCCCCAGGCGGGGCACUUAAUGCGUUAGCUGCGGCACCCAGGGGGUCAAUACCCCGGACACCUAGUGCCCAUCGUUUACAGCGUGGACUAC
rnacentral:misc_RNA from 1 species